rnacentral:rRNA from 1 species
UGAGUAACGCGUGAGUAACCUGGCUAUAAGAGGGGAAUAACAGUUAGAAAUGACUGCUAAUACCGCAUAAGCUGAUAAAGUCGCAUGAUUUAGUCAGAAAAGGAGCAAUCCGCUUAUAGAUGGGCUCGCGUCCGAUUAGCUAGUUGGUGGGGUAGAAGCCUACCAAGGCGACGAUCGGUAGCCGGACUGAGAGGUUGAACGGCCACAUUGGGACUGAGAUACGGCCCAGACUCCUACGGGAGGCAGCAG